AGAUUUUUUUUAAUGGUGGCGAGGUAUUUCUUCUCUUUAUCUACUGAUUUUAUUUAUAUUUUUUUCAUGCUUUGGAUUUCAGAUUGGAUUGUGUGACAAAGUCGAUACGAUUGCAUGGUAAGCAAACAGGAUGAUUGGAACAUUUCUAUGAUUUUUGGUUAUGCCUACCCGGCUUGUGGGUGUUCUAAAGUAGCGGGGAAGAGAAGGAUAGACAUUGAGCAACUCCUGUUUCGAUGCAUGCCGGUACUGGAUUCUAGUUGCAAUGCUUGCAGUUCGUGAGAGAGUAGGAGUCAUCUAAUCUCUUGGCUAACUAUGUACAGUGAAGCAAAGCUGGCACUCUUGAUAUAUCUUUGGCAUCCGAAAACGAAAGUAUGUAGAGUCAUCCUAAAUCUGUAAAGCAGCAUCAUCCGGUCGGUUAUCUAUCUUUCAAUUAGUUAUCCCGAUCGACUGGCUUCUUGUUUUGACUGCUUCAAGGCACAUUAUAUGUUUAUGACUGUUUUUUCCGGUUUUCUGUGGCAAAACAUGAGACCGAUAUUAAUUGUAAUUUGCUGGAGUUGAGGUGAGGGCUGAGGAGAUUGCCCUUAUUUAUUGGCAAAAGGCUGCAGCUUAUGGACAGGCUAUUUUUUUGAAAAUUGUCAGUAUGUUUCUUCUCAAUCAGUAUCACUGCCUAAUUCUGAUCAGCAACAAGGGCCAAAUGCUAAAAAUGGAGAGCCUGAUCGUGCAUCAGGUUCAAGCGGAGAGUAUACGAAAAGGCAGCCCAAAGAACCUGAUCAGUUAAGUUCAUUUAGUAGGUGCUUCUUUGUCCCAGCAGUCACAUGAGCAUGCGAGUUGGAAGAAAGGCCAGGUCAACCACUCCCAUCAUCCUUUGAGAAUGGACAUGGAAGAUGGAAACCUUUCCGGACCCCACAUAAACAAUCAAAUUCUUAAGUUGUUACCUACAUGUAAAUACUAGGUUGAGACAAGAUUUUAAGAUAUAAUUUAUAUUAUCUUGUGUUUAAUAUUUAUCAAA